rnacentral:rRNA from 1 species
CAAUAGCGUAUAUUAAAGUUGUUGCGGUUAAAAGCUCGUAGUUGGAUUUCUGUUGAGAACAGCCGGUCCGCAUUUUGUGCGUGUAUCUGGUUUGAACUCGGCAUCCUUUCAAAGGACGUUACUGUGAUUCAGUUCAUGGUGCGGCACUUUGGAACAUUUACUUUGAGGAAAUUAGAGUGUUCACGGCAGGCAAUCGCCUUGAAUAUAUUAGCAUGGAAUAAUAGUAUAGGAUCUUGGAUCUAUUUUGUUGGUUUCUAGAGCUAAGAUAAUGAUUAAUAGGGACAAUUGGGGGCAUUCGUAUUAACACGUCAGAGGUGGAAUUCUUAGAUUGUGUUACGACGAACUACUGCGAAAGCAUUUGCCAAGGAUGUUUUCAUUGAUCAAGAACGAAAGUGAGGGGAUCGAAGAUGAUUAGAUACCAU